rnacentral:rRNA from 1 species
CCAUCCUCCAAGGCUAAAUACUCCUGACUGACCGAUAGUGAACCAGUACCGUGAGGGAAAGGCGAAAAGAACCCCGGCGAGGGGAGUGAAAAAGAACCUGAAACCGUGUACGUACAAGCAGUGGGAGCACCUUCGGGUGUGACUGCGUACCUUUUGUAUAAUGGGUCAGCGACUUAUAUUCUGUAGCAAGGUUAACCGUAUAGGGGAGCCGCAGGGAAACCGAGUCUUAACUGGGCGUUAAGUUGCAGGGUAUAGACCCGAAACCCGGUGAUCUAGCCAUGGGCAGGUUGAAGGUUGGGUAACACUAACUGGAGGACCGAACCGACUAAUGUUGAAAAAUUAGCGGAUGACUUGUGGCUGGGGGUGAAAGGCCAAUCAAACCGGGAGAUAGCUGGUUCUCCCCGAAAGCUAUUUAGGUAGCGCCUCGUGAACUCAUCUUCGGGGGUAGAGCACUGUUUCGGCUAGGGGGUCAUCCCGACUUACCAACCCGAUGCAAACUACGAAUACCGAAGAAUGUUAUCACGGGAGACACACGGCGGGUGCUAACGUCCGUCGUGAAGAGGGAAACAACCCAGACCGCCAGCUAAGGUCCCAAAGUCAUGGUUAAGUGGGAAACGAUGUGGGAAGGCACAGACAGCCAGGAUGUUGGCUUAGAAGCAGCCAUCAUUUAAAGAAAGCGUAAUAGCUCACUGGUCGAGUCGGCCUGCGCGGAAGAUGUAACGGGGCUAAACCAUGCACCGAAGCUGCGGCAGCGACACUAUGUGUUGUUGGGUAGGGGAGCGUUCUGUAAGCCUGCGAAGGUGUGCUGUGAGGCAUGCUGGAGGUAUCAGAAGUGCGAAUGCUGACAUAAGUAACGAUAAAGCGGGUGAAAAGCCCGCUCGCCGGAAGACCAAGGGUUCCUGUCCAACGUUAAUCGGGGCAGGGUGAGUCGACCCCUAAGGCGAGGCCGAAAGGCGUAGUCGAUGGGAAACAGGUUAAUAUUCCUGUACUUGGUGUUACUGCGAAGGGGGGACGGAGAAGGCUAUGUUAGCCGGGCGACGGUUGUCCCGGUUUAAGCAUGUAGGCUGGUUAUCCAGGCAAAUCCGGAUAAUCAAGGCUGAGGUGUGAUGACGAGGCACUACGGUGCUGAAGUAACAAAUGCCCUGCUUCCAGGAAAAGCCUCUAAGCAUCAGGUAACAUCAAAUCGUACCCCAAACCGACACAGGUGGUCAGGUAGAGAAUACCAAGGCGCUUGAGAGAACUCGGGUGAAGGAACUAGGCAAAAUGGUGCCGUAACUUCGGGAGAAGGCACGCUGGUGUGUAGGUGAAGUCCCUGCGGAUGGAGCUGAGACCAGUCGAAGAUACCAGCUGGCUGCAACUGUUUAUUAAAAACACAGCACUGUGCAAACACGAAAGUGGACGUAUACGGUGUGACGCCUGCCCGGUGCCGGAAGGUUAAUUGAUGGGGUUAUCCGUAAGGAGAAGCUCUUGAUCGAAGCCCCGGUAAACGGCGGCCGUAACUAUAACGGUCCUAAGGUAGCGAAAUUCCUUGUCGGGUAAGUUCCGACCUGCACGAAUGGCGUAAUGAUGGCCAGGCUGUCUCCACCCGAGACUCAGUGAAAUUGAACUCGCUGUGAAGAUGCAGUGUACCCGCGGCAAGACGGAAAGACCCCGUGAACCUUUACUAUAGCUUGACACUGAACAUUGAGCCUUGAUGUGUAGGAUAGGUGGGAGGCUUUGAAGCGUGGACGCCAGUCUGCGUGGAGCCAACCUUGAAAUACCACCCUUUAAUGUUUGAUGUUCUAACGUUGGCCCCUGACCGGGGUUGCGGACAGUGUCUGGUGGGUAGUUUGACUGGGGCGGUCUCCUCCCAAAGCGUAACGGAGGAGCACGAAGGUUAGCUAAUCCUGGUCGGACAUCAGGAGGUUAGUGCAAUGGCAUAAGCUAGCUUGACUGCGAGCGUGACGGCGCGAGCAGGUGCGAAAGCAGGUCAUAGUGAUCCGGUGGUUCUGAAUGGAAGGGCCAUCGCUCAACGGAUAAAAGGUACUCCGGGGAUAACAGGCUGAUACCGCCCAAGAGUUCAUAUCGACGGCGGUGUUUGGCACCUCGAUGUCGGCUCAUCACAUCCUGGGGCUGAAGUAGGUCCCAAGGGUAUGGCUGUUCGCCAUUUAAAGUGGUACGCGAGCUGGGUUUAGAACGUCGUGAGACAGUUCGGUCCCUAUCUGCCGUGGGCGCUGGAGAAUUGAGGGGGGCUGCUCCUAGUACGAGAGGACCGGAGUGGACGCAUCACUGGUGUUCGGGUUGUCAUGCCAAUGGCACUGCCCGGUAGCUAAAUGCGGAAGAGAUAAGUGCUGAAAGCAUCUAAGCACGAAACUUGCCCCGAGAUGAGUUCUCCCUGAGACU